rnacentral:rRNA from 1 species
CCUACGGGAGACAGCAGUGAGGAAUAUUGGUCAAUGGUCGGGAGACUGAACCAGCCAAGCCGCGUGAGGGAGGAAGGUACAGAGUAUCGUAAACCUCUUUUGUCAGGGAACAAAGACUGGGACGCGUCCCCGGAUGAGUGUACCCGAAGAAAAAGCAUCGGCUAACUCCGUGCCAGCAGCCGCGGUAAUACGGAGGAUGCGAGCGUUAUCCGGAUUUAUUGGGUUUAAAGGGUGCGCAGGCGGUCUGUUAAGUCAGCGGUAAACGCCCGGGGCGCACCCCCGGCCCGCCGUUGAAACUGGCAGUCUCGAGUGGGAGAGAAGUAUGCGGAAUGCGCGGUGUAGCGGUGAAAUGCAUAGAGAUCGCGCAGAACUCCGAUUGCGAAGGCAGCAUGCCGGCUCCACACUGACGCUGAGGCACGAAAGCGUGGGUAUUGAACAGGAUUAGAUACCCGAGUAGUC